GGAAGUCUUCCACAAUGGACGGCAAGUCUGAUGGAGCAACGCCGCGUGAGUGAAGAAGGUCUUCGGAUCGUAAAACUCUGUUGUUAGAGAAGAACACGAGUGAGAGUAACUGUUCAUUCGAUGACGGUAUCUAACCAGCAAGUCACGGCUAACUACGUGCUAG
rnacentral:rRNA from 1 species